rnacentral:lncRNA from 1 species
GGCGAGCGGCAGGCGGCUAGGGUUUGUGGUCUGGUGUGGGGGUUCUAUUUAUAACCCCUUGCCUUUUGAUCUCAGCCGUUCAUUUUGUUUUAAUCUGUGCCGUUCGUUUUUGAUUGAAUCUGGGCCGUCCGUGCGAUUGCAUCUGGGCCGUCCGAUCGCGCGAUUGAUCUGGGCCGUCCGAUCGCGCUCACGCGGAUCGCCAACGUAGCCCGUUCCGGAGUGAUGUGGUCUUGCCACGUGGCAGGCCCCGGUUGGCCGGGAUUGCUAACCGGGCCUGCUGAUGUGGCUGCCGACGUGGCUUUUUUUUUUUUUUUUUUUUUUCGGUCCUUUUUCUCCGGGCGCUACAACUCUCCCCCCCUUAAAGAAAUUUGGUCCCCAAAUUUGCCUCAUUACUCUUGAUCAAACAGAUGGGGAUAUUAUGUCCUAAAUUCUGAUUCCAGUUUCUAAGUCGCCUCCCUAGGCGUGUGGUUCUGCCACAUGACUUUUACAAAUGAUAUUUCCCGGUUGCGGAGUAUUCUGCUUUCUCGGUCCGUGAUACUGACCGGUACUUCUUCAUAAGACAAGUCCUCUCGGAGUGAAAGCGGUUCAUGAGCCACGACAUGAGAAGGGUCCGGAUUGUACUUGCGUAGCAUAGAUACAUGAAACACAUUAUGAACCCGGGAGAGCUCAGGGGGCAGUGCAAGUCUGUAGGCAGUGGUACCAAUCUUGUCUAAGAUUUCAAAGGGUCCAAUGUAUCUGGGGUUUAAU